AAUCAACGCUGGCGGCGUGCCUAACACAUGCAAGUCGAACGAGAAAGGGGAGCAAUCCCUGAGUAAAGUGGCGACCGGGUGAGUAACACGUGACUAACCUACCCUCGAGUGGGGAAUAACUCCGGGAAACCGGAGCUAAUACCGCAUAACAUCAUUGGAACGCAGGUUCUGGUGAUCAAAGGAGCAAUUCGCUUGAGGAGGGAGUCGCGGCUGAUUAGCUAGUUGGCGGGGUAAUGGCCCACCAAGGCUUAGAUCGGUAGCCGGCCUGAGAGGGCGCACGGCCACACUGGAACUGAAACACGGUCCAGACUCCUACGGGAGGCAGCAGUGGGGAAUUUUGCGCAAUGGGGGAAACCCUGACGCAGCAACGCCGCGUGGAGGAUGAAGUCCCUUGGGAUGUAAACUCCUUUCGACCGGGAAGAUACUGACGGUACCGGUGGAAGAAGCACCGGCUAACUCUGUGC
rnacentral:rRNA from 1 species